UCCCUGAUAGCUCAGUUGGUAAAGAAUCUGCCUGCAAUGCAGGAGACCCCGGUUCGAUUCCUGGGUUGGGAA
rfam:TPA: Bos taurus chromosome 16, whole genome shotgun sequence.